CCGCGGACCAAUCGCAAUGCGAGGGGAGGGGCAGACUCCAGGCUUAUAUAAACGUGUUCCGCGGCCAUACGGGUCUUUCGAAGAACGUCUUUCAUGUGUCUUGUUUCUGGAGGACGCCCCGGAGUGACAGCUAACGUCUUUUCUUUUGCGGUUUAUUGUUGAACCAGUAAAGUCAGUGAACCCUAA